rnacentral:rRNA from 1 species
UUCCGGUUGAUCCUGCCAGAGGUUACUGCUAUCGGAGUUCGAUUAAGCCAUGCGAGUCUAAAGGUUUCUUCGGAAACCUUGGCGAACUGCUCAGUAACACGUGGAUAACCUACCCUUGGGACUGGAAUAACCCCGGGAAACUGGGGAUAAUACCGGAUAGAUCAGGGAUGCUGGAGUGCACCUUGAUCCAAAGCUCCGGCGCCCAAGGAUGGGUCUGCGGCCUAUCAGGUAGUAGUGGGUGUAAUGUACCUACUAGCCAACGACGGGUACGGGUUGUGAGAGCAAGAGCCCGGAGAUGGAUUCUGAGACACGAAUCCAGGCCCUACGGGGUGCAGCAGGCGCGAAACCUUUACAAUGUGCGAAAGCAUGAUAAGGGAACUCCGAGUGCCAGUAUCUAAUACUGGCUGUCCUUGUGCCUAAAACGCACAAGAUAGCAAGGGCCGGGUAAGACCGGUGCCAGCCGCCGCGGUAACACCGGCGGCCCGAGUGGUAGCCGCUAUUAUUGGGUCUAAAGGGUCCGUAGCCGGUUCGAUAAGUCCUCUGGGAAAUCUGGUUGCUUAACAAUCAGACUGCCAAGGGAUACUGUCGAACUUGAGACCGGGAGAGGUAAGAGGUACUUCAGGGGUAGGAGUGAAAUCUUGUAAUCCCUGGGGGACCAUCUGUGGCGAAGGCGUCUUACCAGAACGGGUCUGACGGUGAGGGACGAAAGCUGGGGGCGCAAACCGGAUUAGAUACCCGGGUAGUCCCAGCCGUAAACGAUGCUCGCUAUGUGUCAGGUACGGUGUGACCGUAUCUGGUGCCGUAGGGAAGCCGUGAAGCGAGCCACCUGGGAAGUACGGUCGCAAGACUGAAACUUAAAGGAAUUGGCGGGGGAGCACUACAACGGGUGGAGCCUGCGGUUUAAUUGGAUUCAACGCCGGGAA